AAGAAAGUAGCAGAAUGGUUAUGCGGCUGACUUGAAAUCAGCAGACGGGGGUUCAAUUCCUCCCUUUCUCG
rnacentral:tRNA from 1 species